rnacentral:rRNA from 1 species
CGCGGCCUAUCAGCUUGUUGGUGGGGUAACGGCCUACCAAGGCAGCGACGGGUAGCUGGUUUGAGAGAACGAUCAGCCACACUGGGACUGAGACACGGCCCAGACUCCUACGGGAGGCAGCAGUAGGGAAUCUUGCGCAAUGGGCGAAAGCCUGACGCAGCAACGCCGCGUGCGGGAUGACGGCCUUCGUGGUUGUAAACCGCUUUCAGCAGGGACGAAAAUGACGGUACCUGCAGAAGAAGCCCCGGCUAACUACGUGCCAGCAGCCGCGGUAAUACGUAGGGGGCGAGCGUUGUCCGGAAUCAUUGGGCGUAAAGAGCUCGUAGGCGGUUCAGUAAGUCGGGUGUGAAAGCUCCGAGCUCAACUCGGAGAGGCCACCCGAUACUGCUGUGACUAGAAUCCAGUAGGGGAGCGUGGAACUCCUGGUGUAGCGGUGAAAUGCGCAGAUAUCAGGAAGAACACCAGCAGCGAAGGCGGCGCUCUGGGCUGGAAUUGACGCUGAGGAGCGAAAGUGUGGGUAGCAAACAGGAUUAGAUACCCUGGUAGUCCACACCGUAAACGUUGGGCACUAGGUGUGGGGAGGAAUCAACCCUCUCUGUGCCGUAGCUAACGCAUUAAGUGCCCCGCCUGGGGAGUACGG